AACGAACGCUGGCGGCAGGCUUAACACAUGCAAGUCGAACGCCCCGCAAGGGGAGUGGCAGACGGGUGAGUAACGCGUGGGAAUCUACCUAGUUCUACGGAACAACAGUUGGAAACGACUGCUAAUACCGUAUACGCCCUACGGGGGAAAGAUUUAUCGGAAUUAGAUGAGCCCGCGUAAGAUUAGCUAGUUGGUGGGGUAAUGGCCUACCAAGGCGACGAUCUUUAGCUGGUCUGAGAGGAUGAUCAGCCACACUGGGACUGAGACACGGCCCAGACUCCUACGGGAGGCAGCAGUGGGGAAUAUUGGACAAUGGGCGCAAGCCUGAUCCAGCCAUGCCUCGUGAGUGAUGAAGGCCUUAGGGUUGUAAAGCUCUUUCACCGAUGAAGAUAAUGACGGUAGUCGGAGAAGAAGCCCCGGCUAACUUCGUGCCAGCCGCCGCAGUAA
rnacentral:rRNA from 1 species